UGCGUAGGUGGUUUGUUAAGUCAGAUGUGAAAGCCCCGGGCUCAACCUGGGAACUGCAUUUGAAACUGGCAGGCUAGAGUAUGGUAGAGGGAAGUGGAAUUUCCGGUGUAGCGGUGAAAUGCGUAGAUAUCGGAAGGAACACCAGUGGCGAAGGCGGCUUCCUGGACCAUUACUGACACUGAGGCACGAAAGCGUGGGGAGCAAACAGGAUUAGAUACCCUGGUAGUCC
rnacentral:rRNA from 1 species